rnacentral:rRNA from 1 species
AGGAAUCUCUAGUAAUCGCCGGUCAGCCAUACGGCGGUGAAUUCGUUCCCGGGCCUUGCACACACCGCCCGUCACACUAGGGAAGCUGGCCAUGUCCGAAGUCCUUACCUGAACCGGAACAAGGGGGGGUAUGCCGAAGGAGGGUUAGUGGCUGGAGUGAAGUCGUAACAAGGUAGCCGUACUGGAAGGUGCGGCUGGAUUACCUCCUUU